rnacentral:rRNA from 1 species
UACAGAGGUCCCAAGCGUUGUUCGGAUUCACUGGGCGUAAAGGGUGCGUAGGCGGUCGGGUAAGUCUGAUGUGAAAUCUCACAGCUUAACUGUGAAACUGCAUUGGAUACUAUCCGGCUCGAGGAAUGGAGGGGAGACUGGAAUACUUGGUGUAGCAGUGAAAUGCGUAGAUAUCAAGUGGAACACCAGUGGCGAAGGCGAGUCUCUGGACAUUUCCUGACGCUGAGGCACGAAAGCCAGAGGAGCAAACGGG